rnacentral:rRNA from 1 species
AAUGAACGCUGGCGGCGUGCCUAAUACAUGCAAGUCGAGCGAACGGACGAGAAGCUUGCUUCUCUGGUGUUAGAGGCGGACGGGAGAGUAACACGUGGAUAAACUACCUAUAAGAAUGGGAUAAUAAUGGGAAAUAGGAGCUAAUACCGGAUAAUAUUUUGAACAGCAUGGUUCAAAAGUGAAAGAAGGUCUUGCUGUCAGUAAUAGCUGGAUACGCGCUUCAUUAGCUAGUUGGUAAGGUAACGGCUUACCAAGGCAACGAUGCAUAGACGACCUGAGAGGGUGAUCGGCCACACGGGAACUGAGACACGGUCCAGACUCUGACGGGAGGCAGCAGUAGGGAAUCUUCCGCGAUGGGCGAAAGCCUGACGGAGCAACGCCGCGUGAAUGAUGAAGGUCUUCGGAUCGUAAAACGCUGUUAUUAGGGAAGAACAUAUGUGUAAGUAACUGUGCACAUCUUGACGGUACCUAAACAGAAAGCCACGGCUAACUACGUG